AGAAUCAACGCUGGCGGCGUGCCUAACACAUGCAAGUCGAUCGAGAAAGUGGAGCAAUCCAUGAGUAAAGAGGCGCACGGGUGAGUAACACGUGACUAACCUACCUUCGAGUGGGGAAUAACCUGGGGAAACCCGGGCUAAUACCGCAUAACACCUACGGGUCAAAGGAGCAAUUCGCUUGAAGAGGGGGUCGCGGCAGAUUAGUUAGUUGGCGGGGUAAUGGCCCACCAAGACGAUGAUCUGUAUCCGGCCUGAGAGGGCGCACGGACACACUGGAACUGAAACACGGUCCAGACUCCUACGGGAGGCAGCAGUGGGGAAUUUUGCGCAAUGGGGGAAACCCUGACGCAGCAACGCCGCGUGGAGGAUGAAGUCCCUUGGGACGUAAACUCCUUUCGACCGGGACGAUUAUGACGGUACCGGAUGAAGAAGCCCCGGCUAACUUCGUGCCAGCAGCCGC
rnacentral:rRNA from 1 species